rnacentral:misc_RNA from 1 species
GACUCAGCGGAGGGUCCAGCUCAGUGAGCCCAGCAGUAGGCGUACAAAGAAUAAUUAUUAUAAUUAGCGUCGUUCACUGGGCGCGGACACCUGUUACAGGGAAAUAACUCGGCUCCACAACACGAACGGUAACUCGUGACGAUCCUCCGUGUGGCACCAUGGCAUCGCCCUGGAGGAUGUGUGUACUUGUUCUCCUGACGGCUGCACAGGAAGCAGGAAGCCAAAAGUGGAAGGAUGAUCCCAAGGAUGGAUUAGUUAUUCAUAAAUGUGCAACACAAAAUGUUACAUUUUCUUGGGAGAUUGAACCUGAGGAAGGAGUAAUAGCAAUUUCCUGGACCCAAAUAAAAGGAGAGGCAAGGACCAAUAUUGCUGAUUAUUAUGAUGGGAAAUUCAGCACCAAAAAAUCCAAUCUUGAGCAGGUUGGUUUGGCUGGAAUCAAGCUAUCUAACCUCUUCAUGGAAGAUUCUGCAACAUAUAUUGUAAAUGUCAAACUGAAAGAUUUGCCAUUGAUGACAAGAAGUGUCAACUUAAGUCUCUCAGAGCCACCCCAACUGCUGAAAGCACAAGAGUUCCACAUUAAUCUGAGCACCCUGAAGGAAAUGACUUCAAGCACUGAUGCACAAGCAGUGCUUACAGACAGCUGUGGUGUGGACCCUUUGCUUACCUGGGGAAGCCAGCCAUAUCUGUUAUCUGGAAGCAUCCUGAUCAAAGACAGGAAGAAAGUUCAUACUAUGAGGACAAUUAUUUUAAACUCAAUUUGACGGCGAUGCAUGAGGGAGGUUUGUACUUCUGUGAAAUCAACAACUCAUCACCAGCAUUCCAGUGCCUGCAGAGGGACUCCCCCUUGAGGAAACGUGCAAGCAUAAAUAUUGUUGUCCCAGAGCUUGAAACAGUACAAGCGGCAGCACCAGGUCUUAGUGGCGGUGAGGUUGCAGGCAUUGCCAUAAGUGUUGUGGCCAUUUUACUGAUUGUCAUCAUCGUUGCUGCUUUCAUUGUUGUGAAAUCUAAGGGAGGAAAAUAUUACAAACCCAGAAAAUCAGAGGAGGAACUUCCUGAGGGUGCUUCAGAUCCUCUGAGUAAGCAGGACAUUUAAGUGGAGAUACCAUUUAUAUGUUUGACAUCUAACAGCGACUAAAGCAUAUGUAAUUUGUGCUGGCUAUCUAGUUCUUGGACCAACUAGUGUUGUCUUGUGAGGAUAUGUUUGAUGCCUUGGGUUUCUUAUACUAGUCAUCUGCAUCUUGCUGCCCAUAGAAGGAAUCAACCAAUGCCAAAUGAAUUGGGAGGAAUUUUGAAGUUGAAAAUCAAAGCCAGAUCCCUUUGCUCCUUCAAUUUUAACGAAAUUUGUAUGCAUCAUGCGUAUUUUCUGCUCUUUCCUUUGCAAGUACAGCACACUGUUUGCAUGCAUUUGUAAUUGUAUUUUAAAUUUCAAACAUUCAUUUUGACUUGCCUUAUGCAAUCUAUUGUAUAAAACAGUUUUAAUGUAGUAAUCACAAUUUUUACAUCUUGAAAGUGACAAAGUGACAUUUUGGACACCUUGACAAUGACCUGGAGAUAUUGAUGGUUACACAGUGAAGGUGAACAAAUGAUCAUGGCUUACAUUUACUGACACUGUCUUGCCGAUAUCAAACGCGUCACAAGUUAUUUGGAACCUGCUAAUGAUGUCACAGUAAUAAGGAAAUAAUAUCACAAUUGUAUGCUGGCAUUUUUAAGUCAGGUCAGCAAAUUUUUGCACAGAAUUUCCGAAAUGUGCCAAAUGAAAAAAAGAAAAAGAAUAUGUGUUGCUUACUUUGGACCAUAGUUAUGAAACAAGGAUAAGUCCCUGGCCUAGGGCUACAUAGGGAACUAGAAGACAACCGUCUUGUUUGUGAAGUUAUAAAGCGGUGUCCAGACCCUGGAGAUGUUGUUUAACUCCUGAGGCCAUAGUUAUAAAACAAUGGCAAAGGUGUCCUAGGGUAAAUAAUUAAAAAAAGUGUUUUGAGGGUCUGGAAACCACUUUAUAAGUUCAGAAUCAAUGAGUUUCCCCUUGAGUUCCUCAUGUUGCUUUAGGGGAGACAGUGUCACUGCACAACUACAUCUCCUGGAGGUUUUCCAGUUUAGGGUUCGAGGUAAUAAAUGUCUGGUUUGUGCAAGCAGAAUAUGUACAAUCAUCCCCUGCCAAUGCUUAGCUGUAAGCAUUAAAACAAAAAAAUCAGAGAAGACAGGAUAUAUUCCAUUGACAAAAAUCAAGAAACUGUAUGACCAUGUUGAGAAAGAUGUGGAGCUUAAUGGGACAAGGAACCUUGAUGAAAAAUUUUAAGAUGAUUGUAAAUUAGACAAAUUGGCAAACAUUGGAAUCUUCUGAGAAAGACCUGUCUAUGGAAAUUAGUCGUGAUAGUUUAGUCCAUUUGUCACACCAUAGCAGCUGGAGACCUGUAUACAAAUCUGCAAAUGUUUUGAUGUCUGUGCCUACAGUGUAUUGUGGUACAAUCAACAAUAUUUCAUUAUUUUUUUAGGAUGCUGUGUUAAAUGGCACUUUUAAAGCAUAUUUAUCAUACUAGUCCCCCCCCCCCUUUUUUAUUCUCUUGAGGUAGCAUGUGUGUUGUGUGCACACAUUUUUGGCAUUUUUAAGACUGGCGCUGGCGCCUUUUUUGUGGAAUAUUUCCCAGAGGAUCCUGAGUUGCACUGCCUAGUUUGUCAUGUCCUGUCCUUUCUGCAGAAUCUGAUACCUUGAUGUGUUCCAUUAUACAACUCUAGCAUGUGCAUAUCGCCAUAUACACAUUUAGAAUCAGUAAUCAAUUUUCUAUCAAAACAUUUAUAUUUAGCUGUGUUUCUCUGAGGUAAACUUGAUGUAUUCUGCUGUCUUCUUCCAUUUUUUUUGUGAUAGAUGUGUAAGCUUGCGGGUUUAGUCUGGCUUUUUUGUUGUCGUAAUCCUUUGAAACCUCAUAUUGAAAUGGCGAGGCACUUGUUAUUAAGACCAUCACAGUGACAGAUUAUGGGUUCACAACAGUUAAAUCUUGGUGAAAUAUGGCAGUGGCUUAAUCAAACUGGCUGACUGUGAUGUAGCCAUUGCUGUGAUUAAUAAUAAAUUUAAAAGUGCACAGUUUAAGUGAAAUAUUUGCUGUCGCUGCUGGUGUUAAAACCAGAAAAGGAAAAAAAAAUCUUAAAACUAGAUCAAUUUAAAAGUUAAAUUUCUUUUUAGCAUAGUAUGUCUUCUAAUAGCCAUGAUGUCAGCUAAGUGAUUCUGUUAGUCAUAUAACUAAUAGGUUUACAAGGCUGGCAUUAUGACAUUGACAAAGCAACUGGUCCUACCAUAACUCAUGAUUUCAUGUUUAAGAAACUAUCUGUCCUCAAAUGAUAUUGUAUUUUAUGACUUCAAAAAAAAAAAAAGAAGAUAUUGGUAAAUUUAUUAUUAAAACUGUACUUAACAAUCAAAAAUGACUGAUCUUACAUUGGUGAUUUAUUUCAUUUUAUAUCCAGUGAAAAAAAAAAAAAACCGUACUGAAAUAUAGCCACACUUUAGUUCUAAGCAUACAACUCAUUGUAACUGCACCAUAUCGCUCUUUAGAGUAUCCAGGACAAAUAAUCUUUGUUGUCUUUCUUCAAAUAUUAUUUUCAUAUCAAACUACAACUUACUGAAGUCUUACAAUCUCAUCUCACCUGAUAAUGAAGGGUAGCACAUUCUUGCUGCUUCUAUUUAGCUAUCUUUUCAUUCAACUGGAAAUAGCCAUCAUAGGCUGCAUCUAUAGAGGAAGUAAGAAUGUUUCUUUGAUCAAUUGAUAUUUUUCGAUUUAACAAAAACAUAAAAUCAAAUGCCUUUUUUCUUGGCAAACAUUAUGCACUCUUCAGAAAUUGGUAAUUUCACAUAUGAAAAAGAAAAGGUUUGUACAGUUUUUUCCCCAAAAGUCCUGUCAAUUUAUUUGCUCAAAAUUAUGCAAUUGAUAAUAAAUGUAUUUAUACCUAGUUUUUCACCCCUUUUGUGUAUAUCAGUGUGCACCCUAGUAUCAUGAUCCCAUAUCAUUUUUAAACAUUUUUGUGAUUGAUUGAAUUUACAUUAUCAACAAUACAAAUUUAUUUUCUAUAUCUGAUUAUAAUACCAUUUUGUGGUCAUUUUCUUAAACUCAAAUCUGAAAAAUUCCACUUUUUUACUCAUUUUCAAAUCCAGUUUUUUUUGCAUCAUUUUUUGAAAGGCCAAAUCCAUCAGUUAUUUUUCAGUAUCAUUCUCUCUCUCUUUGAGGGAUAGCUAAUUGUGCGCUAGUCAUCAACUAAAAGGCGAUUCUUAUUUUGUAAAUGAACUCUAUGACCAUCUUGCCACUUUGCUGUGUAUGUGGUUUAAGAAAAAUGUAGCUUUUAUAUUAUGAUUUUUUAUCUGAUCUCAUGUAAAUAUGCUUUUGUUUUUACUUGUUAUUGCAGCUGAAAUAAAUAUAGGUUGUGUGAGAAAAA